rnacentral:misc_RNA from 1 species
UGAGAUUAUACUCAAAUGGAUUACGCUGCUUCAAGUCAUUGCAACUCUGCAACGGUUGAAUCCUAUCCUGGAAAAAAUAAAAAAAAGGGAGGAAAGAAAUAGACCGACAACGAAAUCAAUCACAGAAACUUGAUCUUCUUGCCAUCGCUGAUUUCCUUAAUCAGUUUCCUUACAAGCCACUUCUCUCUCUCUCCCUCCAACUCCCACAGGUUUAAAAACUCUUUUCAAUCCGUGAAGCUUCACAAAUUUUCAGUUUGUUUUUGUAUCUAGAGAGAAUGGCAAGUGGGGAUCCAGAGAGAGGGACAAAGAACAGAGGAUACAACACCGCAAACGUCCACUACGUGGAAACCUCGG